GACGAACGCUGGCGGCGUGCUUAACACAUGCAAGUCGAACGGAAAGGCCCUGCUUUUGUGGGGUGCUCGAGUGGCGAACGGGUGAGUAACACGUGAGUAACCUGCCCUUGACUUUGGGAUAACUUCAGGAAACUGGGGCUAAUACCGGAUAGGAGCUCCUGCUGCAUGGUGGGGGUUGGAAAGUUUCGGCGGUUGGGGAUGGACUCGCGGCUUAUCAGCUUGUUGGUGGGGUAGUGGCUUACCAAGGCUUUGACGGGUAGCCGGCCUGAGAGGGUGACCGGCCACAUUGGGACUGAGAUACGGCCCAGCCUCCUACGGGAGGAAGCAGUGGGGAAUAUUGCACAAUGGGCGGAAGGCUGAUGCAGCAACGCCGCGUGCGGGAUGAAGGCCUUCGGGUUGUAAACCGCUUUCGCCUGUGACGAAGCGUGAGUGACGGUAAUGGGUAAAGAAGCACCGGCUAACUACGUG
rnacentral:rRNA from 1 species